rnacentral:rRNA from 1 species
UACGUAGGGUGCAAGCGUUGUCCGGAAUUAUUGGGCGUAAAGAGCUCGUAGGUGGCCUGUCGCGUCGGCUGUGAAAACUCGGGGCUCAACUCCGAGCUUGCAGUCGAUACGGGCAGGCUAGAGUUCGGCAGGGGAGACUGGAAUUCCUGGUGUAGCGGUGAAAUACGCAGAUAUCAGGAGGAACACCGGUGGCGAAGGCGGGUCUCUGGGCCGAUACUGACACUGAGGAGCGAAAGCGUGGGGAGCGAACAGG